rnacentral:ribozyme from 1 species
CUUCGUGCGUAUCAACCAAUACGCAGACCCGAACGCACGGUCGGUGGGUGCCUUCGGCAGUGGCCCUUCUCUCGGCAAUGUUCCCGGCGCCCAGGAAAUCCAGUCGGGAACGCCCAG